rnacentral:rRNA from 1 species
GUCGAGAAUCUUUCACAAUGGGGGCAACCCUGAUGGAGCGACGCCGCGUGGAGGAUAAGGUCUUCGGAUUGUAAACUCCUGUCAUGCGUGAACAAGGUUGCUUGGUUAAUACCUGGGCAAAUUGAUGGUAACGCAAGAGGAAGAGACGGCUAACUCUGUGCCGGCAGCCGCGGUAAUACAGAGGUCUCAAGCGUUGUUCGGAAUCACUGGGCGUAAAGGGUGCGUAGGUGGCGUGGUAAGUCAGAUGUGAAAGCCCGGGGCUCACCCUCGGAACUGCAUCCGAUACUGCCAUGCUAGAGUACUGGAGAGGUGACUAGAAUUCUCGGUGUAGCAGUGAAAUGCGUAGAUAUCGAGAGGAAUACCAAAGGCGUAGGCAGGUCACUGGACAGUUACUGACACUGAGGCACGAAGGCCAGGGGAGCGAACGGGAUUAGAAACCCGUGUAGUCC